rnacentral:rRNA from 1 species
CCAGACUCCUACGGGAGGCAGCAGUGGGGAAUAUUGCACAAUGGGGGGAACCCUGAUGCAGCGACGCCGCGUGGGUGAAGGAGCACCUCGGUGCGUAAAGCCCUAUCGGCAGGGAAGAAACAGACGGUACCUGACUAAGAAGCCCCGGCUAACUACGUGCCAGCAGCCGCGGUAAUACGUAGGUGGCAAGCGUUAUCCGGAUUUAUUGGGUGUAAAGGGCGUGUAGGCGGGAAAGCAAGUCAGAUGUGAAAACUCAGGGCUCAACCCUGGGCCUGCAUUUGAAACUGUUGUUCUUGAGUGCUGGAGAGGCAAUCGGAAUUCCGUGUGUAGCGGUGAAAUGCGUAGAUAUCAGGAGGAACACCGGCGGCGAAGGCGGCCUGCUGGACCGUGACUGACGUUGAGGCUCGAGAGCGUGGGGAGCAAACAGGAUUAGAUACCCGUGUAAC